rfam:Nitritalea halalkaliphila LW7 Contig33, whole genome shotgun sequence.
AGAGAGACCCUCCGAUGAGGGGUUGCCGAGACAGCUAUCAAACGACCUUACGCUGCAUGAUUGGUAAACCAGUAUAUGGUGAGCGGUAAGGAAAAACGGGGACAUUGAUCCCCCUAGGU